GGCUCAGAUUGAACGCUGGCGGCAUGCCUUACACAUGCAAGUCGAACGGCAGCACGGGGCAACCUGGUGGCGAGUGGCGAACGGGUGAGUAAUGCAUCGUAACGUGCCAUUGAGUGGGGGAUAACGUAGCGAAAGUUGCGCUAAUACCGCAUAUUCUGUGAGCAGGAAAGCAGGGGACCGCAAGGCCUUGCGCUCUUUGAGCGGCCGAUGUCAGAUUAGCUAGUUGGUGAGGUAACGGCUUACCAAGGCGACGAUCUGUAGCGGGUCUGAGAGGAUGAUCCGCCACACUGGAACUGAGACACGGUCCAGACUCCUACGGGAGGCAGCAGUGGGGAAUUUUGGACAAUGGGCGCAAGCCUGAUCCAGCCAUGCCGCGUGAGUGAAGAAGGCCUUCGGGUUGUAAAGCUCUUUCGGCCGGGAAGAAAUCGCAUGGGUUAAUACCCUGUGUGGAUGACGGUACCGGAAUAAGAAGCACCGGCUAACUACGUG
rnacentral:rRNA from 1 species